GAUGAACGCUGGCGGCGUGCCUAACACAUGCAAGUCGAACGGAGCUGACAGGUUGGAAAUAACCGGCUUGCCGGGAAUGGAAGAAGUGUCAGCUUAGUGGCGGACGGGUGAGUAACGCGUGGGUAACCUGCCUUAUACAGGGGGAUAACACCUGGAAACAGGUGCUAAUACCGCAUAACAACAGAAAGCGCAUGCUUUUUGUUUGAAAACCAAGGUGGUAUAAGAUGGACCCGCGUCUGAUUAGCUUGUUGGCGGGGUAGAGGCCCACCAAGGCGACGAUCAGUAGCCGGCCUGAGAGGGUGGACGGCCACAUUGGGACUGAGACACGGCCCAAACUCCUACGGGAGGCAGCAGUGGGGAAUAUUGCACAAUGGGGGAAACCCUGAUGCAGCGACGCCGCGUGAGUGAAGAAGUAAUUCGUUAUGUAAAGCUCUAUCAGCAGGGAAGAAAAUGACGGUACCUGACCAAGAAGCCCCGGCUAACUACGUGC
rnacentral:rRNA from 1 species